rnacentral:lncRNA from 1 species
AUUUGAUUGAUUUGUACAUCUUCUAAUAAAGUGCUUAGAUGGCUUACGUUCAAAUGCUAUUUGUUGCUACUUCGUAAAUAGUACUCUUUUUGGGAUAUGUAUUGCUUUUCUGAUAUUUAUUUCUUUGUUUUUAUUGCAAAAAAAGAUUAAGUAAAGAUGAAGAGGAGAAAUUCUACGCAUAAGUGUGGUUGUGCAAUGGAAUUAUACUUAAUUUUAGACAAUCAACGGAAGGGUGACUAAAAAAUCACUGUUAUAUUAGGUUCUUUGCUUUAGUUUAUGCCAUUCAAUUAACUUCUUUUCCAAAUUUGAAGAUACAUUUGUUUGUUUACUCCUUUCAUUGUUUCACCGUUGGCCUUUAGCUAAAGAAACAUACUUGGUUUCUCUCCUAUUGCCGAUCCCUGUGGUCCAAUUUAACAAUGUGGUUAUAUAAAGUCCUCUUGAUAUUUAGUCACAUUUCUUCCUUUAGCAUAUGAGAAAAUUACGUUCAAUGUUUUGGCAAUAAAAAUGGAUUUGCUUUUGAUUUGAUGUCUGGAUUCCAUGGGUGUAUUAUUUCAUCAGUAAUGUGUUUCAAUUAAAUCUGUCAUAUCAUCAUUAUACAUGCUUUACAUGAUACAAUAUCCUCUAGUUUCUAUUGUGCUUCACAACCUAUGCUUUGCUUGCUAUCGUGUACAUCGAUAGGCACUACUUCCACUGAACUAUUUGAUAUUCUAGGAAAGGAUGAUUUGUGAAUUUCCGAACUAGGUCAUUCCAGUGAUGCAGCUUGGUGGAUAUGAGUCCCACAGUUCUGUGGGAUUCCAAUAAUUGCAAAAAAAAAAAAAAAAAAAUGUGAUAGAAGAGACAAAAAGUGUAGCACUAGGUCGUGCGAACUUCUUGCACAUGUUGUGCAUUCGUUGUUCCAUAGGAAAAAAAUGUUAUUGAGUAUAAAUAUUAAAAAUUCAAUGUGCUACAAAUUUCAUAUGAGACGUAAUUUUAUAAUAGUUACCCGACUAUUUAAAAGGAUCUGAUCGAUUUCUGUCCAUGGAAACUAUAAUGAAUUUAUGGAAAUGUGUCUGAUUCAAAAAUUUCUGAUGAGACAAUUUUAUGUGUGUUACGUUACUAUUUAAACACAAUUUUAUCAGUUUCCGUCAUUGACAGCAAAAAUUAUAAUGAACAUUCAUUUAUUUUCCACCCAUUGCAUAAGACUCAUGAUCUUAUAAAUUGACUUUUGUUCACCAACUAUUCAAAAAUGCAAACACAGUUUCAUGAGUGUACAUUAUUAUUUAAAAAGAGCUUGGUUUGUUUUCAUAACUGCACUGGUAAUUAUAAUAACGCACAAUGCAUGGGACUGACUUAACUUUUGUAGAGAUAGUCGUUCAAAAAUUCUAACGAGAUUCAUUUUUAUGAGCGUUACAUGUCUAAUUAUUAAACGAUUGGUCAGUUUUCGUUAAUAAUAGUGCAAUGAUAUGAGCAUGCAUUUAUUGUCCCCUAAACGUUUUGUCCCAAAUUUUAUAAAUUGAUUUUUGUUUAUAUGGUGGUCAAAAUUUUUGAAUUUGCACAUUUUUAUUAUUUUAUAAAUUUGAUUUUAUUUCCUUUUACAUUUCUCUGUUAUUAUUCAUGUUUGAUGUAUGAGAUUUUCAUGUUGUAAUUGAUUUUGGAGUAAUGUUUGAAAUUACUGGAUUUAAUGUUUAUGUUUGAUUUUCUCUCCUUUUUCCUUUAAACCAUUUCACUCAAAUUCGUGCUCCAAUUGAAAAUAUGUACUACAAAUUUACGAGUGCAAAGGAUUACGCUUCGGUUAUGAUUGAUGGGCACUUUAUUUCCGUUGCACACUUGAAAGAAAAAAUACUUGAAUCAAAGCACUUGGGUAAGGGAAAUGAUUUUAACCUCAUUGUCACUAACGCCCACAAUAAUGAAGGUUGGCUUGAUUAUUAUAAUUUUUUUUAAGACUUUUAAAUCUGCAAAACAAAUUCUGGGCUUGUUAAUGGUUACGGUUCCUCUGAGUGUCAUUACCGUCCUCUAUUUUAUUGUAUUUCAAAUGAGAAUAGAAAAAGUAUUAACUACGUUAAGAUCAUUGAACUUUCUUCUAUGUAAUUUUGAAUGCCAAUAGUUUUUCUGACAACUCUUGUAUGCUAUUAUUGAAAGCCAACUAAUAAAGCUAGUCAUUUAACUUACGUUCUUCGAUUUGUGUCCUCUAUAUAUUGUGGUUGGGCACACUGUAAAGAUCAUAGGCUUUAUUGACGUUUAUGGUUUUCUCAUUAGUUCUCCUUUGUGAUUUUUUAUUCUUAGAGUAUAUUGCAUAGUCAACGAGAAAUGAAGAUUGUCAAUAAUCAAGUACAUAAUCGGAAGGGAGAUCAAUGGUUUGGAGGCAUAUAUUGAGAACGAUGCAUUUGAUAAUAUUUGUAAUGGUGUAAUUAUAUGAUGCUUUUAAAGUUUGAAAACACGUAGGCCACAAUUAUGGUAGUGUAUUGACUUAUUUUCAUUAAUGUUAUGUAUUUUUAAAAAAUUGCAUUAAAUUUUUUAUCCCACAAUAGAAAUGUCUAGCCA